rnacentral:rRNA from 1 species
AUUGAACGCUGGCGGCAGGCCUAACACAUGCAAGUCGAACGAGUGGCGGACGGGUGAGUAAUGUCUGGGAAACUGCCCGAUGGAGGGGGAUAACUACUGGAAACGGUAGCUAAUACCGCAUACCAUCGGAUGUGCCCAUAUGGGAUUAGCUAGUAGGUGGGGUAACGGCUCACCUAGGCGACGAUCCCUAGCUGGUCUGAGAGGAUGACCAGCAAAACUGGAACUGAGACACGGGCCAGACGCCUACGGGAGGCAGCAGUGGGGAAUAUUGCACAAGGGGCGAAAGCCGGAUGCAGCCAUGCCGCGUGUAUGAAGAAGGCCUUCGGGUUGUAAAGUACUUUCAGCGGGGAGGCGUUACUCGCAGAAGAAGCACCGGCUAACUCCGUGCCAGCAGCCGCGGUAAUUC